GCUUCACCGUGCAGGAUAGGAGAAAUCGUUGCUGAAGGACCUUUGGUGAUGCUGGGGAAGGGGCGGGACUGAGCUGAAGUGGAGGUCACAUGAUUCCUGCACUGCCACUACUAUCCUGUUCUGUGUGAAGAAAUCUGCACCUUAGUGUUACCCCAGAAGUAAGGAGAUUACAUAAGGAGGAGUACACUUCACAGUGAUGUCUAGUGGUAGGCCCCCCCGCACCUGAGAGCUUUGGCUCUCGCUCCCCACACCUCCAGCUAUUGACUUGCCGUCUGCUGUAUGGACACUUGGAAUAAAGCAUCGUUUGUACUAAUACUUCUCAGUGGGAGCCACGAGCAACAUGAACUGCACAUAAUAGAAGCCCAAAGUUAUUUCUACACCCAACACUAGGAAGAAAACAAUGGAACCAAAGGCCAAAAGAAGAGUCCAGAAGAAGCAAAGCAAUAAGAAUAUGCACAUGCAAGGAAUAAACAUGGAUCUCUGGGAUGUGGUGAAGGUCUAGAGGCUGAAGGAUUAGCAGCUUGUGCAACAAAGACAGAAGAGACAAGAUACGUAUGUGUUUAUUGGAAAACAACACAACAUGUAGAGACAGAAGCAACAAGGACAGGAGCAGAGAAGCGGACGCAGCAAGCUUUGGUUCAUCUAUUAAGAGAAUGUAUUGUAUAGAAAGUCCACAUUCAUCGGCUGGAAUGAAAAUGGUGACAACUGUAGGAUUAUUAUGGAAGGUGACUGUUGUCACUAGUGGUGGGUUUGCUAAAUCAACUGGCUACAUAUCAGUCCUAUACAUAGAAUAUAGGUCAGGUAUCACAGUGGGGUAUCUAGAACCUGUAGGCCACCCAUAGAUAUCAUACCCUAGUUUACCCUUGAAUAGGAAUCCCCAUGUCGACUUUAUACAAACUAUAAUAAUGUUUUGAUGAAGACAAAUUAUAAGAUGACUUAUAAAGACCCAUUUCUGUAUACAUAUACUGUAUGAAUAAGGAGGAGGGGUGAUUCCAUGAUGGUUUUAAUGGUCU